GCCCGGAUGGUCUAGUGGUAAGAGAUCCUCAAUUGCAAUAAUUGUUCCCGUUCCGACGCUAACUCCUCAAAAAGGUAUGAUUCUCGCUUUGGGAUAAAAAUGCGAGAGGUCCCCGGUUCAAACCCGGGUUCGGGCC